rnacentral:rRNA from 1 species
GACGAACGCUGGCGGCGUGCUUAACACAUGCAAGUCGAACGGAAAGGCCCCUUUGGGGGUACUCGAGUGGCGAACGGGUGAGUAACACGUGAGUAACCUGCCCUUGACUUCGGGAUAACUUCAGGAAACUGGGGCUAAUACCGGAUAGGAAUCCUUGCUGCAUGGUGGGGGUUGGAAAGCUUCGGCGGUUUUGGAUGGACUCGCGGCUUAUCAGCUGGUUGGUGGGGUAGUGGCUUACCAAGGCUUUGACGGGUAGCCGGCCUGAGAGGGCGACCGGCCACAUUGGGACUGAGAUACGGCCCAGACUCCUACGGGAGGCAGCAGUGGGGAAUAUUGCACAAUGGGCGGAAGCCUGAUGCAGCAACGCCGCGUGCGGGAUGACGGCCUUCGGGUUGUAAACCGCUUUCAGCAGGGGCGAAGCUUGUGGUGACGGUACCUGCAGAAGAAGCACCGGCUAACUACGUG